GAUGAAGAACGUAGUGAAAUGCGAUAAGUAGUGUGAAUUGCAGAAUUCAGUGAAUCAUCGAAUCUUUGAACGCACAUUGCGCCCUUUGGUAUUCCAAAGGGCAUGCCUGUUCGAGCGUCAUUUGUACCCUCAAGCUUUGCUUGGUGUUGGGCGUCUUGUCUCUAGCUUUGCUGGAGACUCGCCUUAAAGUAAUUGGCAGCCGGCCUACUGGUUUCGGAGCGCAGCACAAGUCGCACUCUCUAUCAGCAAAGGUCUAGCAUCCAUUAAGCCUUUUUUUUCAACUUUUCGCCUCGGUUCAGGUAGGGAUACCCGCUGAACUUAAGCAUAUCAAUAAGCGGAGGA
rnacentral:misc_RNA from 1 species